rnacentral:lncRNA from 1 species
UGUGGUCGUCUCCAAGUCCCUCUGCGGUACCAAUCCACCUAACGCUGGGAAUUACCUGCACAGCUAAUAAACGGGUUGAGUUUACGAAAACUCAGUGUGUAAUCCCCUUACUAGAGUAACUGUCAGUAAACAAACAGAAAUCAGAAUUAGUUUGGCUCGGAGCCCAUUACAGUAACUGUGACAGCCCUAAAUUGACCCUAGUCGGAAAGUGGUUUCGGGAC